rnacentral:tRNA from 1 species
UGCGGGAUAGUUCAGUGGUAGAACCUCGGACUCAUAACCCGAACGUCGCCGGUUCGAUUCCGGCUCCCGCUUCCA